rnacentral:ribozyme from 1 species
UGCCCAGUAACUUCUAUCCUUACCUCCGCGUAGCAUCGGCCGGGCUGCGAGCAACCUUAGGGAAGAUCGGGUAACCAACCCAUGUGGAAACAUUGGUCGUUUGCUGACAGGGAAGG